rnacentral:rRNA from 1 species
GACGAACGCUGGCGGCGUGCCUAAUACAUGCAAGUAGAACGCUGAAGGAGGAGCUUGCUUCUCUGGAUGAGUUGCGAACGGGUGAGUAACGCGUAGGUAACCUGCCUGGUAGCGGGGGAUAACUAUUGGAAACGAUAGCUAAUACCGCAUAAUAGUAGAUGUUGCAUGACAUUUGCUUAAAAGGUGCAAUUGCAUCACUACCAGAUGGACCUGCGUUGUAUUAGCUAGUUGGUGGGGUAACGGCUCACCAAGGCGACGAUACAUAGCCGACCUGAGAGGGUGAUCGGCCACACUGGGACUGAGACACGGCCCAGACUCCUACGGGAGGCAGCAGUAGGGAAUCUUCGGCAAUGGACGGAAGUCUGACCGAGCAACGCCGCGUGAGUGAAGAAGGUUUUCGGAUCGUAAAGCUCUGUUGUAAGAGAAGAACGAGUGUGAGAGUGGAAAGUUCACACUGUGACGGUAUCUUACCAGAAAGGGACGGCUAACUACGUGCCAGCAGCCGCGGUAAUACGUAGGUCCCGAGCGUUGUCCGGAUUUAUUGGGCGUAAAGCGAGCGCAGGCGGUUAGAUAAGUCUGAAGUUAAAGGCUGUGGCUUAACCAUAGUACGCUUUGGAAACUGUUUAACUUGAGUGCAAGAGGGGAGAGUGGAAUUCCAUGUGUAGCGGUGAAGUGCGUAGAUAUAUGGAGGAACACCGGUGGCGAAAGCGGCUCUCUGGCUUGUAACUGACGCUGAGGCUCGAAAGCGUGGGGAGCAAACAGG